GCGAACGCUGGCGGGCGUGCCUAACACAUGCAAGUCGAUGCGAACCGUUUUGGGGAGGAAAACUCGGACGGUUAGCGGGCGGACGGGUGGAGUAACCACGUGGGUAACCCACCUGGGGGGACCGGGAUAACGGCUCGAAAGGGCCGCUAAUACCGGAUACGCUCCCUGGGGGCCACAAGCCUCGGGGAGGAAAAGGUCGCCCGCAAGCAGCCCACUCCCCAGACGGGCCCGCGGCCCAUUAGCUAGUUUGGCGGGGUAACGGCCCACCAAGGCAAAUGAUGGGUAGGCCGGUUCUGAGAGGGAUGACCGGCCACACACGGGGACUGAGGACACGGCCCCGACUCCUACGGGAGGCAGCAGUGGGGAAUCUUCCGCAAUGGGCGAAAGGCCUGACGGAGCGACGCCGCGUGGGGGGACGAAGGCCUUCGGGGUCGUAAACCCCUGUCAGAGGGAAAAGAAGGGUAACCGGCGUGAACAGCGGCCGGUAAUUUUGACGGUUACCCUCAGAGGGAAGCCACGGCCAACUCCGUGCCAGCAGCCCGCGGUAAUAACGGAGUGGUGGCAAAGCGUUGCUCGAAUCACUGGGCGUAAAGGGCGCGUAGGGGCGGGGAGGGUAAGUCGGGUGUGAAAUCCCCUCGGGCCCAACCGAGGAAACUGCGCCCGAGACUGCUUUUCUUGAGUCCCGGAGAGGGAAGGUGGAAUUCCCGGUUGUAAGCGGGGUGAAAAUGUGUAGAGAUCGGGAGGAACACCGGUGGCGAAGGCGGGCCCUUCUGGACGGUGACUGACGCUGAGGCGCGAAAGCGUGGGGAGCAAACGGGAUUAGAUACCCCGGUAGUCCACGCUUGUAAACGAGUGGGUGCUAGGUUGUGGGGGGUAUCGACCCCCUCCCGUGCCGAAGCUAACGCAUUAAGCACCCCGCCUGGGGAGUUACCGGCCGCAAGGUUGAAAACUCAAAGGAAUUGACGGGGGCCCGCACAAGCGGUGGAGCAUGAUGUUGUUUUAAUCGACGCAACGCGAAGAACCUUACCUGGGCUUGACAUUGUCGGGAGUACCGAACCGAAAGGGGAGGACUCGUAAAAUCGAGAUCCGACACAGGUGGGUUGCAUGGCUGUCGUCAGCUCGUGGCCGUGAGGGUGUUGGGUUAAGUCCCGCAACGAGGCGCAACCCCCUAACCCUAUGUUUGCUACCGGGUAAUUGCCGGGCACUCUUGGGGAACUGCCGGCGGUAAGCUGGAGGAAGGUGGGGGGGGUAGACGUCAAAGUCUAUCAUGCCCUGUAUGCCCAGGGGCCACACACCGUGCUACAAUGGCCGGUACAAAAGCGCUGCCUAACCCGCGAGGCGGAGCCAAUUCCCGCAAAAAGCCGGUCGUAAGUUCCGGAAUUCGAGUCUGCAACUCGACUGUCAUGAAGGCGGAAUCGCUAGUAAGCGCAGGAUCAGCCAGGUCUGCGCUGAAUACGUUUCCCGGGUCUUGUACACACCGCCCGUCACACCAUGGGAGUGGGGUGCACCAGAAGUAGGUAGGCUAACCGCAAGGGGGCCGCCUACCACGGUACGCUUUCAUGACUGGGUG
rnacentral:rRNA from 1 species